UACGAAGGGGGCUAGCGUUGUUCGGAAUCACUGGGCGUAAAGCGCGUGUAGGCGGAUGAGCAAGUCUGCUGUGAAAGCUCCUGGCUUAACCGGGAGUGGUCGGUGGAAACUGCUCGUCUGGAGGACGGUAGAGGCUGGUGGAAUUCCCGGUGUAGUGGUGAAAUGCGUAGAGAUCGGGAGGAACACCUGUGGCGAAGGCGGCCAGCUGGGCCGGACCUGACGCUGAGACGCGAAGGCGUGGGGAGCGAACGGG
rnacentral:rRNA from 1 species